CCUACGGGAGGCAGCAGUGGGGAAUAUUGCACAAUGGGGGAAACCCUGAUGCAGCGACGCCGCGUGAGUGAAGAAGUAUCUCGGUAUGUAAAGCUCUGUCAGCAGGGAAGAGAAUGACGGUACCUGACCAAGAAGCCCCGGCUAAAUACGUGCCAGCAGCCGCGGUAAUACGUAUGGGGCAAGCGUUAUCCGGAUUUACUGGGUGUAAAGGGAGCGUAGGCGGCAGGGCAAGCCUGAUGUGAAAGCCCGGGGCUCAACCCCGGGACUGCAUUGGGAACUGCCCCGCUCGAGUGCCGGAGGGGCAGGCGGAAUUCCUAGUGUAGCGGUGAAAUGCGUAGAUAUUAGGAGGAACACCAGUGGCGAAGGCGGCCUGCUGGACGGUGUACUGACGCUGAGGCUCGAAAGCGUGGGGAGCAAACAGGAUUAGAUACCCGGGUAGUC
rnacentral:rRNA from 1 species